GGAUAAACUGACAUGCAUUUGUUUUUCAAAAUGAAUAUAAGUUUGAUAACACAAUAGCGAAAAGAGAAAUCAGGGAUAAUCAGCUAUUUUAAUCAAAGAACCUACAACCAUUAGGAGAAAAGGAGGAAAAAUAAAGCUAAGACAUUUUAAGGAAUGCUGAUAUCUGCAUAUCUAAAACAACUUAUUUGUAUUUUGUAAAUAUAUACAAGACGU
rnacentral:misc_RNA from 1 species